rfam:Dictyocaulus viviparus strain HannoverDv2000 D_viviparus-1.0_Cont6.43, whole genome shotgun sequence.
GCCUCGGUAGUGUAAUGGAAUGCACGGCAGACCGGAUAUUUGUAAGUGCGGGUACGAGUCCCGCCUGAGGUU